rnacentral:rRNA from 1 species
AACGAACGCUGGCGGCAUGCCUAACACAUGCAAGUCGAACGAGACCUUCGGGUCUAGUGGCGCACGGGUGCGUAACGAGUGGGAACCUGCCCUUAGGUUCGGAAUAACUCCCCGAAAGAGGUGCUAAUACCGGAGAAUGUCUUCGGACCAAAGAUUUAUCGCCUUUGGAUGGGCCCGCGUUGGAUUAGCUAGUUGGUAGGGUAAAAGCCUACCAAGGCGACGAUCCAUAGCUGGUGUGAGAGCAUGACCAGCCACACUGGGACUGAGACACGGCCCAGACUCCUACGGGAGGCAGCAGUGGGGAAUAUUGGACACUGGGCGAAAGCCUGAUCCAGCAAUGCCGCGUGAGUGAUGAAGGCCUUAGGGUUGUAAAGCUCUUUUACCCGGGAUGUUAAUGACAGUACCGGGAGAAUAAGCACCGGCUAACUCCGUG